rnacentral:misc_RNA from 1 species
CGGGUAUGUUUUGAUGAAAUAUCCUGAGUUGUUAGGGUUUAAACUUGAGGGAACAAUGAGUACUUCAGUUGCUUACUUGGUUAGUAUAGGGGUUAAUCCCAGGGAUGUAGGGCCGAUGGUAACACAAUAUCCAUAUUUUCUUGGGAUGAGAGUUGGGACGACUAUUAAACCACUUGUGGAUUAUUUGGUUUCAUUGGGUGUGCCGAAGAAAAUAUUGGCGAGAAUGUUGGAGAAGCGAGCAUAUUUACUUGG